UACGUAGGGGGGCGAGCGUUGUCCGGAAUCAUUGGGCGUAAAGAGCUCGUAGGCGGUUCAGUAAGUCAGGUGUGAAAGCUCCGAGCUCAACUCGGAGAGGCCACCUGAUACUGCUGUGACUAGAAUCCAGUAGGGGAGUGUGGAACUCCUGGUGUAGCGGUGAAAUGCGCAGAUAUCAGGAAGAACACCGGUGGCGAAGGCGGGUCUCUGGGCCGAUACUGACGCUGAGGAGCGAAAGCGUGGGGGAGCGAACAGG
rnacentral:rRNA from 1 species